rnacentral:rRNA from 1 species
UACGUAGGGUGCAAGCGUUAAUCGGAAUUAUUGGGCGUAAAGGGUGCGCAGGCGGUUGUAUAAGUCAGAUGUGAAAUCCCUGGGCUUAACCUAGGAAUUGCGUUUGAAACUAUAUAACUAGAGUGUGACAGAGGGGAGUGGAAUUCCAUGUGUAGCAGUGAAAUGCGUAGAGAUGUGGAAGAACACCGAUGGCGAAGGCAGCUCCCUGGGUUAACACUGACGCUCAGGCACGAAAGCGUGGGGAGCAAACAGGAUUAGAUACCCUGGUAGUCCACGCCCUAAACGAUGUCAACUAGUUGUCGGAUCUAUAUAAAGAUUAGGUAACGUAGCUAACGCGUGAAGUUGACCGCCUGGGAAGUACGGUCGCAAGAUUAA